CUCACUCACUCACUCACUCUGUCUCUCUCUCAAAAAAAUAAAAAAAAAAAAAAAAAAAAAAGAGUUUGACCCUGUAGUUGAAAUGGGGUCUCAGUCUUUACUACAGAGGAGCGGAAAGUGGAGGAGGUUGAGAAACUCUAGUUCAGCUAUCAUUGUGAAGUCAUAAAAAAAGAUUUUUAACCUCCUCUUUGAAGAUCCUUAACUGAACAUGGAAACUGACUCUUUAGCUCUGAAGGUGUUCAUAGUAUUUUUAUUUGUUUCUGUAUUCGUGUUUUGCUUAAAUUUUGUUUUCUUUAACGUUUAAUUCUUGAGGGUGGUUUCUAGGCUUGAAAACAUUGUAAACUUUUGUAUUAUGCCCAGUGAUUUUUCUGUAAGGGUUUUGGAAUCCUAGGUUCAAAUGUUAGUUAUAUGACCUUAGACAAGUGACAACUUGUGGGAGCCUCAAGUUCCUAUCUGUAAUUUGGGAAUAAUAAUCUUUUCAGACAAAGUCAGGUAGUUCAUGAUGUUUAUGGUGUUUAUGUAUUAAGCCUUGUAACACAAUCUAGAGAUGGGCUUGACCCACAACUAUCAUUUGAUCAUCAUAGCUAUUCUAUUGUGAUGUAAAUCGUCCAGUAUGUAAAUGGUAGGCUUCCAAAAUUACUGAAAUUUGUGCUUGAUUUGUUGAACAUUUUUGGAAAAUUUAUUAAAACUACAUGAUAAUGGCACUGGUAACUGCAAAAAUUGAUUUAAGAGAUACCAGGGUGUAUAAUACAGCCACCUGGGGUGGCUCAGUUGGAUGAACAUCAUGACCUGAGCUGAAGUCGGACUGUUAACUGACUUGAGCCACCCAGGUGCCCCUGAAAAGGGUUAUUUUGAUAUUUAAUAUUGAUAUUUGAAGUUGGGGGAUUUUUAAAAUUUCAUUUGUGUAGUUAACCAUUGGCUUGAUCAGAUGACAAUUUGAAGUAAAAUGGCUCAGUAUGUCUAGGACUAUUUAAAUUAUGUAAAAAAAAAAAAAGUGCAUUAUAAAAUGCAAGAUCCCUGGAUUCUUAUGCACAGAAUUUGAGAAACACUUGUUCAGCAUUUAUUCAUCCAUCGAUUCAUUUAGCAAAUGUUGUUUGUUGGCCUCCUGUGUGCUAAUCAUUGUUCAAGGUGCUAGAGAGCAGUUGACUGGUUUACCUUACACAAAGUCACCACCAUUGUGGAGCUUGCUGACAAAAUAAUUCAGGUAAAGAAAAGUGCUUUGUGAUAGAGGGUAAAUUUUAUUGCAUAAACUGCCAUGAAUAUUACUUUUUUUUUUUUUUUUUUUUUUACCAAAAAUUAACUGUGGCCCUGGGAUAGAAAAUUACCUUGAUCCUGAGGUAGAAAUUAGUGCAGAGCUGCAUUGACUUCUGCCCUCAGAACCCUAUUAAGCUGGUGGUGUAUCCAUAUUUUCUGGGUUAUUAGCUAGUCUAGGCAGAACUAAACCAGGGAUCAUUUGGCUUGGUGAGGAGGUCUAUUAUAUUCCUUAGGUAGUAUAUAACUGGUUGUCUUAAAGUUUUCUCUGAGGUAACUAACUGUAGUGUAGUGGCUAAGAGCCACUGUAAAAAUGUAUUGGCAGACUCUCCCUACUGCUGAGGUGAAAUCCUGCCUCUGCUUUAUUCGCUUUGCAACAUUGGGCAGAUUACUUUAAAAAAAAAUUUUUUUUUAACAUUUAUUUAUUUUUGAGAGACAGACAGAGGCAGAGUAUGAGCAGGGAAGGGGCAGAGAGAGAGGGAGACACAGAAUCCAAAGCAGGCUCUAGGCUCCAAGCUGUCAGCACAGAGCCCGAUGCGACGUGGGGGCCCGAACCCACAAACCGUGAGAUCAUGACCUGAGCCGAAGUCGGAUGCUCAACCGACUGAGGCACCCAGGUGCCCCUGGGCAGAUUACUUUUAGGUAAAAUAACUUUUUUCUUAUCUGCAAAAUGUGUAUGAUAAAAAUAUUUAACUGAAGUUGUUAAUGAAGAUAAAUUGAGUGUUCUAAAUUAAUUAAUUUAAAUUAAUUAAUUUAAAUUAAUUAAUUAAACUAAAUUAAAUGUUAGUUGUUGUUCUUCUCUGUCAGAAUGGGUGAAAAAUUUCCAGUUUAAUUUUCCAUUUUUAUUUUUCAUGAAAUACCCCUAAGCAUCUUCUAGUAGGAUCCUGGAGUUUGUAUUGGAUGAAAUGACAGGUGUUUGGUGUCUUUUUUUUUUUUUUUUUUUAAGUACUUGUAAUUUAGUGGUCUUCUCAAUAUUGGAGAUAAAAUUAAACCUGGAUGAUUGACUUGCUUGAAGCAAAUUUAAUCAGUUUAUAUACUUUAUUUUUCAGUAUUUGUAGGGUUAAUUGACAUGGGAUUUCUAUUUUCUGAUAGUAAAUAGGUAAGUGAAACAAAUGGUUAUGUAUGACCAAAGACAUGGUUUUACCACAUUCAUGAUGACUGUUUCGGACUCCUGUUACCUUAAAACUGCUUAUAUGAGCGGAAGGUAUCAUUUUUGCCAUGAACUUGAUGUCUCUCAUUUUUCCCUUCAUUUUUAUCUCUUCCCACCCACAUAGGAUAAAUAAAAUGGCAUAAAAUGGACCAAUAAUGAAGACCACUUUUGGCUUAUUUGGUGAUGACAUAUAUUGCUUAGAAAUAGAGGUGGUGAUUUUUCUGUCAGUUUUAUGGACUGACAAUUUGGAUGUUUUUGUGGUGAUUUUGGCAUAUAGUUUCCAAGUCCAGUUGUACAGUUUAUAUCCUUUGAUAGAUGUUUUAUGUGACUGUGUAGCUCAGGGGCUUCUGGUUCUGUGGAAGAAAAGGAUUUUGAUGGAAUUCUUUAGACAAAGUUAACCACACAUGGUUAUCAAGAAUUAAAAUGAGAAAAUAAGUCAUUGUUGCAGUUAUCUGCCUUGUCAGAUUCAUUACUGUGUUUUAAAAACUUUAUCCUAGAAAAACACAACAACUUCUUUUGUUGGACGUUUUCAGUUUCUAAUUUUUCUUUAUGUGGAGUAAUUCUAUAUAGGACACUCUUGUAUAUAAAGCCUUUAUGUUAAAAUCCACUGCAGUAGGUCAGAGAGUGAACAUUUUAAAAGUUUUUUGUAUCAGUAUUGACAAAUUGCUUCCCAAAAGUCUUAGGACAGUUUUUACUCUUGCCCAGUUUACUGUAUCUUUGUCAGCAUCGGGCAUCCCAAUUUAUAAAAAUUCACCAUUUGGAUUAAAAUGAAAUAAUUGUGGGGCACCUGGGUGGCUCAGUCGGUUAAGCAUCCGACUUCAGCUCAGGUCACGAUCUCACGGUCCGUGAGUUCGAGCCCCGCAUCGGGCUCUGGGCUGAUGGCUCAGAGCCUGGAGCCUGCUUCCCAUUCUGUGUCUCCCUCUCUCUCUCUGCCCCUCCCCUGUUCAUGCUCUCUCUCAAAAAUAAAUAAACGUUAAAAAUAAAUAAAUAAAUAAAAUGAAAUAAUUGAUUCAUUUUGCAUAUCUUCAGUGACUAGUGUGAUUGAAUGUUCUUCCAUGUUUAUUAGCUGUGAAUUGUCUUUUUGCUUGUUUAUACUUUUCUUACUUUCUUUGAAGACAAUAGUCUUUUAUGUCACUUGCCUAGGAUGAUUUUCCCAGUUGAUGUGUCUUUUAUUUUGGAUGUUAGAUGUUUCAUUAUCUAUUUAUUGAUUGUAAAAGUAGUAGAUGUUAAUUGUAGGAAAAUCCAGAAAAGCACAAAAAUGAGAAUAAAAAUGCUACUGCUCAGAGAUAACCACUUAUAACAUUGACUUUUAGUCUCUCUAGUGUUUUCUGUGCUUGUGCAUUAUUUCACAAAAUUCAAAGUUUCUUUCAUAAGGUAGCAGCUUGUUUUUUAUUCUAAGUUUCUGUGAACAUUUUCACUGCCUUCUACGAUAUUUCCCCCCAUUUAUAAAAAUUUUAUUUUGGAAUAAUUAUGGAUUCACAAGUUGCCCAAAAACCGUACAGGGUGGUCUCAUGUACUUUUAUGCUCAGUUUCUCCGAAUAGUAACACCUUGCCAUAACUAUAUAAAUGGCCAGCAAAUUGAUAUUGUUACAGUCCACAGAACUUACUCAUAUUUCAUCAGUUUUACAUACAAUAUGAUUUUAAGGCUCUGGGAUAGUCUUUAUAUGGCUGGACUACAGUUAUUGAACAGAUCCUCUGUGGUUGGUGUCUUAGUCCAUUUGAGCUACUAUAACAAUAUCACAGACAAGGUAGCUUAAGAAAUUUAUUGCAGAUAGCGAUGCAGUAAACCUAGGAGUGCAUACAUCUUUCAAAAUAGUGUUUUCGUUUUCUUUGGGUAAAGACCCAAUAGUGAAAUUACUGGAUCAUAUGGUAAUUCUAUUUUUAAAAGAAUGUAUAUUUUUAAGGCUUUUGAUAAACAUUGCUAACUCUUAGAAAAACUGUAUGAAAUGGGGCGCCUGGGUGGCUCAGUCGGUUGGGCAUCCGACUUCGGCUCAGGUCACGAUCUCACGGGCCCCCAGGGGCCCCGUGAGUUCGAGCCCCGCGUUGGGCUCUGGGCUGAUGGCUCAGAGCCUGGAGCCUCCUUCCGAUUCUGUGUCUCCCUCUCUCUCUGCCCCUCCCCCGUUCAUGCUCUGUCUCUCUCUGUCUCAAAAAUAAAUAAACGUUAAAAAAAAAAAAAUUAAAAAAAAAAAAAAAGAAAAACUGUAUGAAUUACAGCAAUGAACCGUUUGCUUCCUUUUAUACUUGUCAAAAUGACAUUAAGUAGUUCAAUAGGUAAAAAUGAUACCUUGCAGUUAACUAUUCCUGUUUGUCCUUUGUACAUUUUCCCUGGAACAGGAAGACCUAGUUUUUCCCUUUCUCGAGCCCAGUGCUUUGCUUUAGAACACAUAUGUAAAUAAACUAUUAUUGUGGUUAGCAAAAUAGAGGUGUGUGCAAAUAAUAAGAGGGAAAGAAGAAGUAAUGACCAAAGAAAUGAAGUCAGGUGCCCAAGAUUUGUAGAAACUGUAAGGAGUUAUGGUAGAGUAGACAUUAUGUCUUUAAAAAUGAGGAAGCUGGAGGGACUCCUGGAUGGCUCAGUCAGUUAAGCGUCCACCUUCAGUUCAGGUCAUGAUCUCGUGGUGUGUGAGUUCGAGCCCCACGUCAGGCUCUGUGCUGACAGCUCAGAGCCUGGAGCCUGUUUUGGAUUCUGUGUCUCCCCUUCUCUCUCUCUGCCCCUGCCCCACUCAUGCUCUGUCUCUCUCACUCUCUCUCAAAAAUAAAUAAACAUUUUAAAAAAUUAAAAAAUAAAUAAGUGAAUAAAAUGAAGAAACUGGGGCCAGUAAUUGCAUAAUUACUGGAUGGCAGAAUAAAGUUAAUUUUUUUGUUGUUAUACCACACUUGUCUUUCAGGUGUUGGAAUGACUCUCAAUUUAGCUUCAUGAAGACAAUAUUGAUACUUUUUUUUUUUUUUAAGAAAUAUUAUAAACUAGAUGUUCUGGAAAAAACUGACAAUGUUGGUUGAAAUAUUUUUUUGAAUUUUUUUUUUCUAAGUUUGUGUAUUUUGAGAAAGGGUACAAGUGUGCGAGUGGGGGAAGGGCAAAGAGCUAGAGAGAGACUCCUAAGCAGGCUCCGCCCUAUGAGCACAGAGCCCAAUCAGGGGCUCAGUCAUGACCUGAGUUGAAAUCAAGAGUUGGACACUUGGGGCGCCUGGGUGGCUUAGUCGGUUGAGCGUCUUUGACUCAGGUCAUGAUCUCACACUCCUAGGUUCGAGGCUUGCUUUGGGCUCUGUGCUGACAGCUCAAAGCCUGGAGGCUUGCUUCGGAUUCUGUGUCUCUCUCUCUCUCUGCCCCUCCCCCACUUGCACUCUGUCACUCUCUCCCCCUCUCUCUCUCAAAAUAAACAUAAUAAUAAAAAAUUAAAAAGAGUUGGACACUUAACUGACUGAGCCACCCAGACACCCCUAAAAAAGUUUUUAUUUUUUAUUUUUUAUUAUUUUUUUAACGUUUAUUUAUUUUUGAGACAGAGAGAGACAGAGUGUGAACGGGGGAGGGGCAGAGACAGAGGGAGACACAGAAUCGGAAGCAGGCUCCAGGCUCUGAGCCAUCAGCCCAGAGCUGGACGCGGGGCUCGAACUCACGGACCGCGAGAUCGUGACCUGAGCUGAAGUCGGAUGCUUAACCGACUGAGCCACCCAGGCGCCCC